GCUAGGAUAGCUCAGUUGUUAAGUACGAGACUCUUAAUCUCAGGGUCGUGGGUUCAAGCCCCACAUUGGGCA